UAAACCUUGGUGUUUAUAGCGUAAUGGAACCACUCCGAUCCAUCUCGAACUCGGUUGUGAAACAUUACAGCGGUGAUAAUACUAUAGGGGACACCCUUUGGGAAGGCAACACAAUGCCAAG
rnacentral:rRNA from 1 species